rnacentral:pre_miRNA from 1 species
CGUGCACUGGUGGGGUCCCUCGGCCCGGCCUGCGGACAUCCCCUGAGGAGUCCUGGAUUGUGAGAGGGCGUAGGCCAGGCCGAGGGACCCCACUGGUGCAUG